UACGUAGGGUGCGAGCGUUAAUCGGAAUUACUGGGCGUAAAGCGUGCGUAGGCGGUUCGUUAAGUUCGUUGUGAAAGCCCCGGGCUCAACCUGGGAAUGGCAAUGGAAACUGGCGGGCUUGAGUAUGGCAGAGGGGGGUGGAAUUCCGCGUGUAGCAGUGAAAUGCGUAGAGAUGCGGAGGAACACCGAUGGCGAAGGCAGCCCCCUGGGCCAAUACUGACGCUCGGGCACGAAAGCGUGGGGAGCAAGCAGG
rnacentral:rRNA from 1 species